rnacentral:rRNA from 1 species
UGCCAGCAGCCGCGGUAAGACGGAGGGGGCUAGCGUUGUUCAGAAUUACUGGGCGUAAAGCGCGCGUAGGCGGCCUGUCGAGUCGGGCGUGAAAGCCCGGGGCUCGACCCCGGAGGUGCGUUCGAGACUGGUGGGCUGGAGUCCGGGAGAGGGGAGUGGAAUUCCCAGUGUAGAGGUGAAAUUCGUAGAUAUUGGGAAGAACACCAGUGGCGAAGGCGGCUCCCUGGCCCGGGACUGACGCUGAGGCGCGUAGGCGCGGAGAGCUUACAGGGGUAGAUG